GUGCUCGCUCCGGCAACACAUACGCUAAAAUUGCAAAGACACAGAAAACACUAGCAUGGCCCUUACACAUGGAUGACAUGCAAAUUCGAGAAGCCUUCCAUUUUUUC
ensembl:snRNA U6 U6 spliceosomal RNA